UCGGCCUACAACACAUUGAUCGAAGUCAACUCUCAGGCUCUAUUGCUCUUGCACGACUCUCCUUUUCCCCUUCCUCUUCUCUAUUCCACGGAAAAACGUCUCCGAUUCAGCUUACCUCCGGCGUUGCUGCACACCGGAGCGACUUCGUCUCGGUCCUAGAGUUCUCUGCUGAUUACCCGCCGCUGAUGCGCCCUUGCAGCAAGACUCCCAUCCAGGUGUACCAGAAUUCGUUUUGGUCAUGUUGUUGGCCAUAUAUAUAUGAGGUCCUGUGCGAUGUUCUCACCAACAAUGCUAUGGAUAUGAACAAAUCUUCAAUUCUCGGCUUGACGCUGUAACAAACCAACGACAUAAUAAUAUAUAAAGAACAACCACAAGAUCUACAGAAAUGGGAAGGUCAUAGGUAAGAGGAGCCAAGAGACGAUGACAUCAGUAACCAAAUUCAGGCAAUGGUGAAUAUGAUAAGCCAAUGUUUCUACAUGCAUAUUGAUGUCACUUUCACAAUUGUUAGCCCCUAAUUUUGCUAUUAUGCCAUGCAUUGUGUCACUUAGUUAUUUGUUCAGCGGGUUCUGCUAUUUUCAGCUUAUUGCAGAAAACUGAUGCAGUAUAUACAUACUUCGAAGAACUUGGCUCACCCUCGGUCUAAUGUGUUUUCAAACCUUGCCAUUUUAUUGCUUGAGCCAUAAGGAUUGACCUUUCUUACGUCAUUUUAAUAUUGGAGCCCCUAGAAGUUUGAUUCCGUAUCCAAUACUUCAUGGAGUAUUCAUUCUAAUAUUUGUAGAUAAAUUAUUGUUUUCUUUCAUCUAUGGAUCGAUCCCACGAAGAGAAAUAUAUGUGUACUCAUUAUCAUUUUUUCUGCCAUUUGAUCUUCUCAGGAUAUUUGCAAGAGAA